UAGGGAAUCUUCGGCAAUGGACGAAAGUCUGACCGAGCAACGCCGCGUGAGUGAAGAAGGUUUUCGGAUCGUAAAAACUCUGUUGGUAGAGAAGAACGUUGGUGAGAGUGGAAAGCUCAUCAAGUGACGGUAACUACCCAGAAAGGGACGGCUAACUACGUGCC
rnacentral:rRNA from 1 species